UACGUAGGGGGCAAGCGUUGUCCGGAAUCAUUGGGCGUAAAGAGCGUGUAGGUGGCCCGGUCAGUCCGCCGUGAAAGUCCAGGGCUCAACCCUGGAAUGCCGGUGGAUACUGCCGGGCUGGAGUCCGGAAGAGGCGAGUGGAAUUCCUGGUGUAGCGGUGAAAUGCGCAGAUAUCAGGAGGAACACCGGUGGCGAAGGCGAGUCCCUGGACAACACCUGACACUGAGGCACGAAAGCUAGGGGAGCAAACAGG
rnacentral:rRNA from 1 species